ACUUGACCUUUAGCGCAGUCUCAAUGAGUGACGUUUUGACGUUGGACCUAUGGAAUCCAUGCUAUGAGCCACAUUUUGUUGUGAAGUUUAUUUACUCGCUUGUGGCUUCAAAUCUUAAAAUUAUUAAGCCUGCUCAUUUAAUAUUGUUAGGGUGUUACCCUUUCCUUCCUUUCCUUUCUUUCUUUCUUUCUUUCUUUCUUUCUUUCUUUCUUUCUUUCUUUCUUUCUUUCUUUUUUUUUUUCUGGAUUUCUUUUGUUCUUGUUCUUGUUUUGGUUUUGGUUUGGUUUGUUUUAAAUAGAACAUAGUUUAAUGUAAUGUUAGGUUAGAGAAAGAAGUUUCUGCCCGGUUAGAGGGGCUCCCGCUCAGAUAACUCCACCCUGCCCUCUCCCCGAGUGUUCCUACUCUGCUUCCGUUUAGACUUCCUCUUCUUCACAAAUCCCCUUCACUUUAGCCAGACCUCUGCAGACCCUGAGCUCACGCGUCUCCACCCUUCCCCUGCCACGACAGCCCUGGCAGGAACCUGGUUUGGAAUCAUGCACCUCCAGGCAAUAAAGUAAGUGAAGCGAUUUCAGCAGAGUCACCUACUCAUCGGAAAAGGAAAUAAUUGUCCCAGUGCCCCACAUAGCGCUUACCUUACGUAAAGCAGAACUAAUGCCAACGGGCUGUUUUGUGGAACAAGCGUUAAAGCUGCAAUCUACCACAGUUUGCCAAAUCUCCUCCAGUUUCCUAUUAGAAACAGUAGCAUUACCUUCCAGUUCCAGUGACAGCGAUUGCAAGAGGAGACCUCCCUUCCUUCGGGACCGGCCUCCGGAACCCACUCCAGGCUUGAGAUGGCCACUCAGCAGUCCCGCACGGUUGGAUUUUAUUUUCUUUUGUUUUGUUUUUGAGUUGUAUCCUCAUGCAACCUUGUCAAAGACCUCAUGCAAUAUCACUUUGAAAUUUAUUUUCUGUUUACUACACAAACAUUGUAAUAUAACUGUUAAUACUAUUUAUAUAUUUGAAAGGUAUAAGAGGUAGGAGUUUAAAAAAAAAACCUCUAUGUGUAGAUAUUAACUCAGAGCUUACACUAUACAGGGAGAAGACACGUUGCAAUACAAGCUAAUUCUAGCUGCUUAGUAACCUCUGGAGUUUUCAAAGGGACAUUUUUCCUGUACUUUUUCAAAUAAUGAUGUUUAAAACAGUUACCCUUGACAUGAGCGUCAUGCAGCUUUGCAAAAGGAUGGCUGUUUGCAACUGAGGCCUGGGCCCGCCCGUCCCCUUUCUGUAGAUGCUGCAGCUUUAAUCCGAGAGUCCACAGUUGCUGCUUCCUGAUCUCCGAGUUACUCUUUCCAAAUUGUCUUCUGACGCUGUUGCUGAAGUCACUCUGUACACAUCCUAGACACCGAUUUUUUUGCCAAGCUCUUACAGGUGGUUCAUCGAUCGAUGGCAUCCGCAUUUGGUAUCUUUUACACUUCAACCAAAAAUUUAUUAGGUAUUUUUCAAUGCUAAGUCUUGCCUUUUAUUUUUUAAUUUCACUGCCAAGUUUGCAGUGGUUCUAAGUGAAUCUGUGGGCAUUUUAGCCUGUGGUCUUGCCAGAUCUUUGCGAAUUACAAUGCAUAUAUGUCUAUUUAUUCAAUAUCUGUCAUAUAAUAUCUAUUUGGAAGAAGAAACUUUCUCUUGUAGUGCCUCUUGACAAAGCACAAUUUCCCGCCUUUUUUUUUUUUUUUGUGAAAUGAAGAAAAAAACAAAUUGUGUUUUAUUGCAGUAUCAAUAAUGUGAAUAAGGAUUAACAUAUUGUAAAUGUUCCUUUUUCCAUGUAAAUCAACUAUCUUUGUUAUCACUAAGUGAUAAUUUUUAACUUAUGUGCAUUGUUAGGCUGUUAGAAUUUUUUGGUUGUUAAAUAAAACGCAUUCAAUAAAUCUG
rnacentral:lncRNA from 1 species